UCAUUUGUUUUCUCCUACAUAGCUCUGAUAGAAGAGAAACGAAUCGGAAUUGGGCAUCUCGUUAACCAUUUGCUUUCCCCCUUGCGGCUCGGGGAAGGACAUGGUGUGCCGGAGCAGAACCUCAGGGGCACAGAGGGAGCAAUCACACUGAAAUAGAGGUGAGGUGAGGCUUUGCUCGCGGGCGCCUUUGAGUGGAGCCUGUGGACCUCGGAUGCGAGUGUUGGCACUCGGUGAGGGGGAGGAAGACUGGCUUCAGAAAUGAACCUUUUUCUCCCAGCCUCAUGGUGCAGGACUUCUCACGGAAGGAAGGAGGGGCUGACACCACUGGCCUGCAGCAGCAGGGGACAUGGCAAGAGGCAGAGAAAGCAGCUCCAUGAGGCUGGAGGGGGAUUGGUACCCACCGCCCCAGAGCCCGGGCGCGGAUCUCCGGAUGUCUGCGAGAUCAUAAAUCAUGUUCCGAGCCCGACGCAGCCUCCUGCUCUCUGCUGCAUCGAUCCACUGCCGCCGCGCACCCCGCAGGAGGAUGCAGGAUGCUGCGGCGCCCGCCCGGCCCGGAGCAGGAGCUGCUCCUGGAUGCCCUCGGGGUGUUCCACUUUGCGAGGCAAUAGUUUGUUGGUUUAGGAAUGACAUUCGCUCGGGUUUGCCGCGUUGUUUGUUCUGGCCCUGGCUUCGGAAACGCUCCAAGGGUGUUGGCUAAACAGAAGCUAAUUCAUUGCUGGUGUUUGGCUUUGCCCAGCACAGGCUGGGGUAGGAGCCUCUUCUCCCCGUCCUGCCCAGUUCCCUGCUGGGGCUGCAGCUGCUUCUGCCUCACAGCUCACUCCCAUUCUUCACCGCCACAACCUGAGCCCCCAUGUUUGUGCUCAGCCUGGUCUCCAGGCAGGACUGAAAAGCCCGAUUUAACAAGAAAAAGCUGUUCCAAAUGUAAUUCCUUCAUACAUGCACGGCUAUGGUGUGCAUCCCUUGUGGGAAUUUUGCUAAAGCAGCCUCUUUCUGCCCUCUCCAGAUGAGCAGAGCUCGGAUCUGUUCUUCUCACACCUUCCUGCCUGAGGUUAUGCGUAUGGAGGACAGCUGGGAGCAGUCCCCAUCAUCCAACCCUGUGCCCGCAUCCUGCUUCAGGAGCAGCAGGAGGAGCCCUCCUGGUAUGGAGGUGCUUGGACCAGGCUUUCCCAGCAGGGUCCCACCUUCAUAAACCUAGAUGGUGUAUGGGGGGGGGGGGGCUGUUGUCUGGGACCCCCUUUCCUCCUGGAGCCUAUCCUGUAUCCAACCCGCUCGCUGUUUGUCCUUGGACCUUGCUCAAGAGGCUGCGUGCUCCCUCGGAUGCACCCAGAAGGGAUGUUGGGAGAACAGGAAUAAUCACCACAGAGCCAAGGUAAAAACACAAUAAUCAAAGACCAGUCCUAAAAACUCUGCUUUAAUCUUUGUGCUUCCAGACCCAGCCUCCCUUUCAUCUAGGACUCUGCUGUUCUCUUCUUACUCCGUGCUCAGAGAAACCACAGGGCUGGGAGAGGGGAAGAAAAAAGACGAGAUUAAACUAAUGAGCAGCAGAGGUUUGUUAGCUCUGGAGGAAGGAGAACGCUGGCAGGCUCCUGCACAGGGGGACUGUAACUGGAAGUGACGGAGAAUGAUGUCUCCUACAUUAUUUCAUUAGCAGCAGAAGACAUCUGAAGGAAUACGUGCUGGGGAUGUGGCCGGGUGAGAUUCCCACCUCAUCUCUGCGGACAAGCGCUGUUCCAUUGCCGUAGGAAGCCUUUUGUCCCCUGCAGCCCUGCAAGCACAAGGCAAACUCCCAGUAACCGAAUGGAGCACACCCAGGGCAGGCAGUCGGGGGCUCACUGGAGUCUGCACCGUGCAAAGCACACUCCAGCUCCUCCAUACCCUGCCCUGGCCUCCCCCCUUCCCCUGCACAUCAAAGCAUCCUAGCACAGCACCGUACAUGACCCACUUUUGUACCCAGAGCAUCUGCUCCUGUUUGAAAGCUCCUAAUGCCGCAGUAAUCCCAGAUGAUCAAAGACUCCCACAUCCACCCACAGGUACCACACAAACAAGCAGGAGCCCGGAGCACGGCUGAUGGACGAGGUGCUGUGGGCACAGACCCGUACAGUGCAUCCCUUCCCGGAGCGCCACUGGCUCCGAGCUCUGCUGGAGCAGAAAAUGGGACACGUCCCUGGAAGCCUGGUCUUGGCCUCGCUGGGAAAUUCAAGCUGAGCAGGACGCCUGUGUCUGCCAAACAAGGGAAGCUCCGCUGUCCUUUGCAAUACAGGAAUGGCUGAACUGAGAAAGCUGGAUCUUUGUGGAACGCGAGGAGCAGCACAUCUGCAUCAUCAUUCCCUGCUCCGUUGGACAGUGGUGCGUCA